GACGAACGCUGGCGGCGUGCCUAACACAUGCAAGUCGAGCGGAGUCGAUCGACGGAAGCCUUCGGGCGGAAGAUGGUUGACUUAGCGGCGGAUGGGUGAGUAACGCGUGGGCAACCUGCCUCGAAGACCGGGAUAACAGCCCGAAAGGGCUGCUAAUACCGGAUGUGGUCAAGGAUCCGCAUGGAUUUUUGAUUAAAGGGGAAACCCGUUUCGAGAUGGGCCCGCGUCCUAUCAGCUAGUUGGUGAGGUAAAAGCUCACCAAGGCGACGACGGGUAGCCGGCCUGAGAGGGUGACCGGCCACACUGGAACUGAGACACGGUCCAGACUCCUACGGGGGGCAGCAGUGGGGAAUCUUCCACAAUGGGCGAAAGCCUGAUGGAGCGACGCCGCGUGAGCGAAGAAGGCCUCGGUUGUAAGCUCUGUCUGGAGGGACGAAGGAAGUGACGGUACCUCCGGAGGAAGCCACGGCUAACUACGUGCCAGCAGCCGCGGUAAAGUACUCUAU
rnacentral:rRNA from 1 species